AGUGAACGCUGGCGGUAGGCCUAACACAUGCAAGUCGAACGGCAGCACAGUAAGAGCUUGCUCUUACGGGUGGCGAGUGGCGGACGAGUGAGGAAUACAUCGGAAUCUACUUUUUCGUGGGGGAUAACGUAGGGAAACUUACGCUAAUACCGCAUACGACCUACGGGUGAAAGCAGGGGAUCUUCGGACCUUGCGCGAUUGAAUGAGCCGAUGUCGGAUUAGCUAGUUGGCGGGGUAAAGGCCCACCAAGGCGACGAUCCGUAGCUGGUCUGAGAGGAUGAUCAGCCACACUGGAACUGAGACACGGUCCAGACUCCUAUGGGAGGCAGCAGUGGGGAAUAUUGGACAAUGGGCGCAAGCCUGAUCCAGCCAUACCGCGUGGGUGAAGAAGGCCUUCGGGUUGUAAAGCCCUUUUGUUGGGAAAGAAAAGCAGCAGGUUAAUACCCCGCUGUUCUGGCGGUACCCAAAGAAUAAGCACCGGCUAACUUCGUG
rnacentral:rRNA from 1 species